rnacentral:tRNA from 1 species
GGGCUUGUUGGAGCGGCUUGGGGCGGGUUGCGCCCGUCGUUCAACUGUCAAUCCAGAGGUCGCGGGUUCAAGUCCCGUCGAGCCCGCCA